rfam:Verticillium longisporum isolate VL1 genome assembly, contig: scaffold_159
GGCGCUGUGGUGGAGUGGUUAACACGUAAGACUCGAAAUCUUAUCCUUUCGGGGGCGCAGGUUCGAAUCCUGCCGGCGUCG